UAUUGUUUAAAAAAAUAAAGGUUCAGAUCUGUUCUGCUUUUCUAUUUCUUCGUGAUAUGUCUUUCAGAAUGAUUUGGCAAACAAGGAUUUUGUCCUCAUACCUAUUUGGAAACCAGGACGCUACAUGCUCUGUGUGCAUCUGCAGCUUUAUUAUUACCAUUACUUUUGCACUGAUUUACUAUUAUAAUCUACUUUCUUCUUUGUAGAAACCUUUUUAUCUUUAACUUGAGAAAUUAUAUUACAUUCGUUUAUGUUAAUAUUCCUAAAAAUAUAUGUGUACAGGUUUUGAAGCUGACAGAGAGACACAUUCUUCUCCUAGACUCCUUAUUCCAUAAACAUCUGAAAGCCUCAGUUGGCUUUGGCAAUCAAUGUUACAUUCAGAUUUGCAGGUUUCAACUCAUUAAGUUCAGACGUUCAAUCCAUCUGUUUUGAAUUUAACCCUUGUGUUGUCUUUUCAUUUUCAGCGGUUGUUUCUACGGCCCAUAUUUUCUGAUAUAAAACAAAAAUUAAACGGGUCAAUUUGACCCGAAGUCAACACAAGGGUUAAAGUUGUUAAAGUUAUUCUAGGUGCUUUUGGUCUGUUCCUGACCACAUAAAGUUGUUCAAUAACAUAUUUAGUUAGAUCUGUUUUAGGAAUUUUGGAAAAUAAAAUGCUGAUUAAUACUUUAAUUGCAGCAAUCUUGCGCAGAGGAUUAAACCAGGAGAAUGGACUGUGAUCUACAGCAAGGACAUCAAAGGUCUCCCAAGCCAGGAAGAUGGCAAUGCCUGUGGGAUCUUCAUGUUAAUGUAUGCUCUUUACAUUGUGCUGGGGGCAGAUUUUGACUUCACAACUGGUGACAUGGACAAAAUCAGGACAUGGUGGUGCCUGUUGCUCCUGUCUGGUCAUUCAGUUGUCAGGUUCGCACAGAAAAGGAAAUAUGAAGAUCAAUUCAUAAUAGCAGAUAAGGAUAAGGAGGAGGCAAAGAGGCCCAGGAUAAUCCCUCCUCAACAGUUGGUUAGUGUGAAUGAAGUAAACUUGAUGCCUUGUAUACAUACCUACUGUCAAAAAACUACAAACUGUCUGCAUAAUGAAUUCUCAAAAUAAGUGUUAAAUGUGUUCAUUCAGGAACCUGUUGACCUGACCAAGGAGGGGAUUCUGGAGGUCAUCAAUGUUUCUGAACUUAUAAUAAAAUAAACAUGUUACACUCUU